AGUGGGUGUAAUGUACCUACUAGCCUACGACGGGUACGGGUUGUGAGAGCAAGAGCCCGGAGAUGGAUUCUGAGACAUGAAUCCAGGCCCUACGGGGCGCAGCAGGCGCGAAAACUUUACAAUGCGGGAAACCGCGAUAAGGGGACACUGAGUGCCAGCACCAUGUGCUGGCUGUCCGCAUGUAUAAAUCACAUGUGUCAGCAAGGGCCGGGCAAGACCGGUGCCAGCCGCCGCGGUAACACCGGCGGCCCGAGUGGUGGCCAUUAUUAUUGGGUCUAAAGGGUCCGUAGCCGGUUUGAUCAGUCUUCCGGGAAAUCUGACAGCUCAAUUGUUAGGCUUCUGGGGGAUACUGUCAGACUUGGAACCGGGAGAGGUAAGAGGUACUACAGGGGUAGGAGUGAAAUCUUGUAAUCCUUGUGGGACCACCAGUGGCGAAGGCGUCUUACCAGAACGGGUUCGACGGUGAGGGACGAAAGCUGGGGGCACGAACCGGAUUAGAU
rnacentral:rRNA from 1 species